rnacentral:rRNA from 1 species
UACGGGGGGGGCAAGCGUUGUUCGGAAUUACUGGGCGUAAAGGGCUCGUAGGCGGCCAACUAAGUCAGACGUGAAAUCCCUCGGCUUAACCGGGGAACUGCGUCUGAUACUGGGUGGCUUGAAUCCGGGAGAGGGAUGCGGAAUUCCAGGUGUAGCGGUGAAAUGCGUAGAUAUCAGGAGGAACACCUAUAGCGAAGGCAGCCUGCUGGGACGUUACUGACGCUAAGGCGCGAAAGCGUGGGGAGCGAACAGG